UGAAUAUGGGGGGACCAUCCUCCAAGGCUAAAUACUCCUGACUGACCGAUAGUGAACCAGUACCGUGAGGGAAAGGCGAAAAGAACCCCGGCGAGGGGAGUGAAAAAGAACCUGAAACCGUGUACGUACAAGCAGUGGGAGCACAGAGCAAUCUGUGUGACUGCGUACCUUUUGUAUAAUGGGUCAGCGACUUAUAUUCUGUAGCAAGGUUAACCGAAUAGGGGAGCCGAAGGGAAACCGAGUCUUAACUGGGCGUUAAGUUGCAGGGUAUAGACCCGAAACCCGGUGAUCUAGCCAUGGGCAGGUUGAAGGUUGGGUAACACUAACUGGAGGACCGAACCGACUAAUGUUGAAAAAUUAGCGGAUGACUUGUGGCUGGGGGUGAAAGGCCAAUCAAACCGGGAGAUAGCUGGUUCUCCCCGAAAGCUAUUUAGGUAGCGCCUCGUGAAUUCAUCUCCGGGGGUAGAGCACUGUUUCGGCAAGGGGGUCAUCCCGACUUACCAACCCGAUGCAAACUGCGAAUACCGGAGAAUGUUAUCACGGGAGACACACGGCGGGUGCUAACGUCCGUCGUGAAGAGGGAAACAACCCAGACCGCCAGCUAAGGUCCCAAAGUCAUGGUUAAGUGGGAAACGAUGUGGGAAGGCCCAGACAGCCAGGAUGUUGGCUUAGAAGCAGCCAUCAUUUAAAGAAAGCGUAAUAGCUCACUGGUCGAGUCGGCCUGCGCGGAAGAUGUAACGGGGCUAAACCAUGCACCGAAGCUGCGGCAGCGACGCUUAUGCGUUGUUGGGUAGGGGAGCGUUCUGUAAGCCUGUGAAGGUGUACUGUGAGGUAUGCUGGAGGUAUCAGAAGUGCGAAUGCUGACAUAAGUAACGAUAAAGCGGGUGAAAAGCCCGCUCGCCGGAAGACCAAGGGUUCCUGUCCAACGUUAAUCGGGGCAGGGUGAGUCGACCCCUAAGGCGAGGCCGAAAGGCGUAGUCGAUGGGAAACAGGUUAAUAUUCCUGUACUUGGUGUUACUGCGAAGGGGGGACGGAGAAGGCUAUGUUGGCCGGGCGACGGUUGUCCCGGUUUAAGCGUGUAGGCUGGUUUUCCAGGCAAAUCCGGAAAAUCAAGGCUGAGGCGUGAUGACGAGGCACUACGGUGCUGAAGCAACAAAUGCCCUGCUUCCAGGAAAAGCCUCUAAGCAUCAGGUAACAUCAAAUCGUACCCCAAACCGACACAGGUGGUCAGGUAGAGAAUACCAAGGCGCUUGAGAGAACUCGGGUGAAGGAACUAGGCAAAAUGGUGCCGUAACUUCGGGAGAAGGCACGCUGAUAUGUAGGUGAAGUCCCUCGCGGAUGGAGCUGAAAUCAGUCGAAGAUACCAGCUGGCUGCAACUGUUUAUUAAAAACACAGCACUGUGCAAACACGAAAGUGGACGUAUACGGUGUGACGCCUGCCCGGUGCCGGAAGGUUAAUUGAUGGGGUCAGCGCAAGCGAAGCUCUUGAUCGAAGCCCCGGUAAACGGCGGCCGUAACUAUAACGGUCCUAAGGUAGCGAAAUUCCUUGUCGGGUAAGUUCCGACCUGCACGAAUGGCGUAAUGAUGGCCAGGCUGUCUCCACCCGAGACUCAGUGAAAUUGAACUCGCUGUGAAGAUGCAGUGUACCCGCGGCAAGACGGAAAGACCCCGUGAACCUUUACUAUAGCUUGACACUGAACAUUGAGCCUUGAUGUGUAGGAUAGGUGGGAGGCUUUGAAGUGUGGACGCCAGUCUGCAUGGAGCCGACCUUGAAAUACCACCCUUUAAUGUUUGAUGUUCUAACGUUGACCCGUAAUCCGGGUUGCGGACAGUGUCUGGUGGGUAGUUUGACUGGGGCGGUCUCCUCCUAAAGAGUAACGGAGGAGCACGAAGGUUGGCUAAUCCUGGUCGGACAUCAGGAGGUUAGUGCAAUGGCAUAAGCCAGCUUGACUGCGAGCGUGACGGCGCGAGCAGGUGCGAAAGCAGGUCAUAGUGAUCCGGUGGUUCUGAAUGGAAGGGCCAUCGCUCAACGGAUAAAAGGUACUCCGGGGAUAACAGGCUGAUACCGCCCAAGAGUUCAUAUCGACGGCGGUGUUUGGCACCUCGAUGUCGGCUCAUCACAUCCUGGGGCUGAAGUAGGUCCCAAGGGUAUGGCUGUUCGCCAUUUAAAGUGGUACGCGAGCUGGGUUUAGAACGUCGUGAGACAGUUCGGUCCCUAUCUGCCGUGGGCGCUGGAGAACUGAGGGGGGCUGCUCCUAGUACGAGAGGACCGGAGUGGACGCAUCACUGGUGUUCGGGUUGUCAUGCCAAUGGCACUGCCCGGUAGCUAAAUGCGGAAGAGAUAAGUGCUGAAAGCAUCUAAGCACGAAACUUGCCCCGAGAUGAGUUCUCCCUGACUCCUUGAGAGUCCUGAAGGAACGUUGAAGACGACGACGUUGAUAGGCCGGGUGUGUAAGCGCAGCGAUGCGUUGAGCUAACCGGUACUAAUGAACCGUGAGGCUUAACCUU
rnacentral:rRNA from 1 species